GAUGAACGCUGGCGGCGUGCCUAAUACAUGCAAGUCGAGCGAACGGACGAGAAGCUUGCCUCUCUGAUGUUAGCGGCGGACGGGUGAGUAACACGUGGAUAACCUACCUAUAAGACUGGGAUAACUUCGGGAAACCGGAGCUAAUACCGGAUGAUAUUUUGAACCGCAUGGUUCAAAAGUGAAAGACGGUCUUGCUGUCACUUAUAGAUUGAUCCGCUCUGCAUUAGCUAGUUGGUAAGGUAACGGCUUACCAAGGCAACGAUGCAUAGCCGACCUGAGAGGGUGAUCGGCCACACUGGAACUGAGACACGGUCCCGACUCCUACGGGAGGCAGCAGCAGGGAAUCUUCCGCAAAGGGCGAAAGCCUGACGGAGCAACGCCGCGUGAGUGAUGAAGGUCUUCGGAUCGUAAAACUCUGUUAUUAGGGAAGAACAUAUGUGUAAGUAACUGUGCACAUCUUGACGGUACCUAAUCAGAAAGCCACGGCUAACUACGUG
rnacentral:rRNA from 1 species